rnacentral:rRNA from 1 species
UUAAGGAAGAAGAACUGACGGUACUUAAUGAAUCAGCAUCGGCUAACUCCGUGCCAGCAGCCGCGGUAAUACGGAGGAUGCAAGCGUUAUCCGGAAUCAUUGGGCGUAAAGAGUCCGUAGGUGGUUGGGCAAGUCUGCCGUUAAAGAAUGGAGCUUAACUCCAUAAAGGCGGUGGAAACUGCUGAACUAGAGUCUAGGAGGGGUAGAGGGAAUUCCCAGUGUAGCGGUGAAAUGCGUAGAGAUUGG